UGGGGAAUAUUGCACAAUGGGCGAAAGCCUGAUGCAGCGACGCCGCGUGAGGGAUGACGGCCUUCGGGUUGUAAACCUCUUUCAGCAGGGACGAAGCGCAAGUGACGGUACCUGCAGAAGAAGCACCGGCUAACUACGUCCCAGCAGCCGCGGUAAUACGUAGGGUGCAAGCGUUGUCCGGAAUUACUGGGCGUAAAGAGUUCGUAGGCGGUUUGUCGCGUCGUUUGUGAAAACCAGCAGCUCAACUGCUGGCUUGCAGGCGAUACGGGCAGACUUGAGUACUGCAGGGGAGACUGGAAUUCCUGGUGUAGCGGUGAAAUGCGCAGAUAUCAGGAGGAACACCGGUGGCGAAGGCGGGUCUCUGGGCAGUAACUGACGCUGAGGAACGAACGCGUGGGUAGCGAACAGG
rnacentral:rRNA from 1 species